CGAAACGCAUUAGUUUGCACAGUGCUCUCCACCGGUUUCUUGGUCCUUUGAGCCUCCAGCCUGGAGAGGAAGGCAAGUAUUCACUCCCCCCAUAACCCCCAUUUUACCCUGGAGGCCGCGGGACUCGGAAAGAGGGAUAUGGGGCUCACUGUGAGGUUCACCUCCCGGUGCCCCCAGGCCUUCACUUCAUUUUGCAGCUCUUACAUCCCAUGUCCCCGCCCACCCCAGCGACCAGUAAACUCUCUCCCGGAACUGAAGCCAGAAAUGGAAGGAGGGGUCUCUCGGUGUCGCAUGGGCUUCCCGCCGGCUUCUCCCGCCCAGCUGCGGGAGUCGCUGCCCCUCCCCCUGUUCCGGAGAGCUGGAGGGAAAGGGAGGGGGCCGGGAGUUGGGCGCAGAGUCCGAGGCCGAGGGGCACAAGACCAGGAAAGGCUGCCUCCAGACUGGCUUGGCCUCAGCUCGCCUCGCUGACACUGCGGGGCGUAGGUGCUUCUUGACUCCGGCCGGGCAUCGCAGCAGGCCAGGUCCCCACCCAGCACAGAGCGGUGUUCAGGCCGGCAGACGACUCCACCGCCCCAACCCUCAGCACCCGCUCCACGCGAGCCCUUUAAAAAAACCCGGGAGCCGCGGAGCUGCCGGCAACUCCUCUUGGGAAAUGUAGUCCCUGGGCACCGAGCCCCGCACUGCACCCUUAGCCUGGGGCCCUCACUGGCCUGCUGCCCAAGGCAUGGGAAGGGGGGCGGGUCAGACAUGCUGCGUCCAAUCCUGCAGGGAGGGGCCCAAGCCUCCCCGCUGUUUUUUCACCUGUCAAAAAAGUCUAGUUUUCAUCUAUCAAAAAGGGGCUCUACCUACCACUGCUGUUAGUGCUAGGGUUGAAUGAAACCCCUUAUGAAAAGUUGUAACAUUGUGUUAGAGUGCUAGGGGUAAUGUUCUUACUAAUGUGCCUGUGUGUGUGUGCGCAUGUGUAUGUGCCAGCAUUUUUGAGCCCUCGAUACAUCUCUAUUUUUCAGAGAGGAAGUCUAGAAUGGCUAAAUGACUUGUUCAAGGGACAAGUGGAAAUAAGAACUCUGGCAGUGGGCCAAAGACGAGAGAAGACUUUCCAGAAGAGGAGACAGGAGCUGGGUUUUGGAGGAUGGCUAGAAAUUCCACAGUUAGGAAAACAAUCCCAGUCCCCCACGGAUUGGGAAUCAGAUGAUGGAAAGAAAGACAAACACACUCCCAGGACAAAGGAAUGAAAAUGCAGGAAUCAAGAACCUUAAAUUGUUCAAACUCAACCUGGAUCUGAGCACGAGAAAGGAACUGGAUAAACCCAAACCAAGGGACAUUUUGCAAGAUGAUUGGCCCAGACCCUCCAAACCCGGUAGAAGAGAUUGACUACAAAAGGCAGGAGACAAGUUUCCGAUUAAAUGAGACUAAGAAAUCUGCCGGCUAAAUGCAAUCUGUGAUCCUUGACUGGACCUUGGAUUUAAAAAAGAACCAAUUCUAAAAGACGUUAUUGAAACAAUUGAGGACAUUUGAAGUCGGGUACUGUAUCAGGUAAUGUUGCACCUCUGUUCCACUGCCUGAAUGUGCUUGUUGGUUAUGGUAAUGUAGGGAAAUGUCACUUUCCUUGAAAGACAUAGGUCCCAGGGUUCAGAGUGUCAUGAUGUCAGCAAUUCAGUUGAUUCAGCAAAAUACAUGUUAUUUUGACACAGA